GAUUUUUAAUUUUUCCCGAAAAUGACGCGUUUUGAGCGUUUUUCGUGUUUUAGGAAUUUAUAACUGAAAACGUUCAAAAAACGAUAAAAAGUUUUUUUACGUUUUCAGUUAUAAAUUUUACUUCGUUUUCAAAAAUUCAUUUUCAAAAACGACAUACUAAACGCGUUUUUCGCGUUUUCGAAAACGGAAAAUGGUUCAAAAACGCCAAAUCAACGACAACCUAAAUAUUUUUAUAUUCUUGAAGAUAUUUUUAUUUUACUAUUUUCGGUGGCUGGGGAUAUUACAUUGAUGUAUAGGGAGUUUGCAUGUCUUGGAAAUUAGCGUUUGUUAGGUGUUGAUUAUAAGGAUUAAUUUUUUGAUCGUUAGUUUGAAAGUUGGAUCCCACCUGUAAGUGAAGAGAUCUAAAUGACCGCUGACUAUAUUAAGUAAUGAUUAAAAAAUUAAUUUUUUAACUUGAAAAAUCAGAAUCAAACGGGGGCUUAGAAUGAGCUGAACAUAAAUAAUGAAUAUAGCGGUUGGGG
rnacentral:lncRNA from 1 species